UCCAUGCCAAAGGACCUCUGAAUGCGUGCAAGUGCGUGCGCUAAGUCUCCGUUUGAACAUCUGGGCCUUGUUUAUGCAUCUUGCAGACGUUAGCGCAAGAAACAAAGAUGAGUUAUGCCAUUGUCGAAUUUGUGAAGUCAAAAGAAGUUGAAGUUGUGCCAGUUUCGUGGGUGUCAGAUAGGCAGUGCCGCUGGCCUGACCAUGUAAAGGCUGAAAAAGCCAGUAGAAUGGUGAAGAAACAGACUCCUCCGCAGGCGGCGUGGAAACGCUUUGACAUUGCUGUCAAAGGACUGUUUGGUACUUAUGAUAGUGCACGAAAAAAUCUGAACCGUAGCCAGUUCCACUCUGACCUGGGCAGUGAUUCUGAAGUGGUUCCAAGGAAGCGAUGCCGAAGGCCACCACGGAACUGGACAGACUCUGACUCUAAUGCGAGUGGGACAGAAGAGGCCACUGCAAAGACAUGUCCACUGACACUCCCCGCCAUUCCGAAAAAUUUCCCUCAAGGCCUGACUUCAAGUCAAAUGUCAAGUGGAGCUACCGGCAGUGAGAGAGAAAUACCAAGAACAGGCUUGCUGUCACGUUCAAAUUCAUCAUGCAGUGAGCGUGAUAACACUGUUGAUGCAGGCAAGUACAGUACAGUCUAGUCUAUUUCUUAUUUUAGGUCAAUAUUUAGCUGAUCAAUAAUGUAACUGUGAAAAGGGCUUGGGUUUCCGAGUGGUUUACCAUAGUUUCUAAGCACUCUUAGCUAAUGCCAGAUCCGUCUCACAUAUGUGGGCACAACUGCAAUUAUUGUUUACAGGUAAUGCAAACAAAGGAGACAACAUUUCAGAAACCAAGUCCUUUGUAUGCAAUUCUGACCAAUGAGAUUAUCCUGUAAUGCUAAUUUAUUACAUUUAUGCUUUCCAGGUCAACCAGUGGAAGUGGAGAAGCCACAAAGCGCACCUACUGAACAUGGCAGUGACCAGUAUGUACUCCAGCAUAUGCUGCGUCUCCUCAACACUAUACGCUUUAUGCUACAGCAACAAGCAGAGAGUAUCAACAAACUUUGUGAAAUGCUACCAUCCGCAGCAGUGACAACAUGCACACCACUAGUCAAUCAACCGUUCAAUUGCCUGCAAGAGCUGCUUGAUUUUGAUGCAAAGCUGACACGUGAAACCACCAGUACUUUGGUUCGUGAAUUUAUGCAGCUUGGCGGGAAAGACGCAAACUGGGCGACGAAAAGAAUUCUUGGAUACUGUUUGACUGACGAGCUUGCUGCACAAUUUUCUUGGCUUGGUCGGAAGGGGAAGCAUAGCUUUUCAGCCCUAAAUAUUGCCAAAGCAGUAGCAGAUGCUGCACGCAAAGCUCCAAAAGGCACUGCAGCAGAUGUUGAAGAGGCUAUUAAGUCAUGGUUACGCCACGCACCGGAGCGCCUCCUUGCGAAGGCGCCUAAGACGCCUGAGCACUGGGAACCACAGCAGACAUCAGAUUCCAACUGAGUGAAGGGGUUUGCCCAACUCUAGCUCCAUCUUCCUCUCCGAGAAAGCCUCUACAGGUUGCCGCUUUAGUUUGGUGCCGCCAACUUCUAGACACCUCUGUACAACUGACUGGCAGAAGUUUGACGUUCUGUUGUGUUUUGUAUUUAUUAAUAACUGCUGAUGAGCUCUAGGUCCCAUACCUUUAUUUUUCUAAGAACUGAUGUGCACUCCUACUGCUGGGAUGUGGUAUGUUUUUUCAGCCACUUGUCCAGCACUUUUUUCAUCUGAGGGGCAUUUGGCCCAUUUAUAGCUUACUGGAAGUAAUGGUGUCUUAGUGUUUUUACUGGCAGUUUCACUAUCUGCUUUUUACCUAAUUGUUAGUGACUUGAGCAAAAUUCUGUGGUUGGUUAGAUAUACUAAAGCUAUUGCCGAAGGCAACAAAGGGACAGGGCUGGAGCGAGAAAACAAAACACCGAGCGCUCAAUGUGGUGUUUUGUUUUCUCACUCCAGUCCUGUCCCUUCGUUUUGCACAAUAGUUUUAGUAUGAGAUAUAUACCCUUGCCAUGCUAAGCACAUAAGUAUGAAACAGUCACAUUGGUGUUGUUGACAAAGCUUGAAAUUCAUCAGAAGCCUCCCACUUACUCAAAUUGUAAAGCCAUAGUUAAUUCUUGUUCGGUUUCACUGCUAUGGCACUUUUGAUGUAUCUUUUUUUUCUGCAGUUCGGUAAUUUAGGCAUAUCUGUAUUUUCAACAGUUCUGGUAGAGGCUGACCAUGGUAUGUUUGCUUCUUUUACUUUUAAGUUGUGUGUCAGUGUCGGAAUGUUUUCAGCUUUUAGAAUUCAUGUUUUCCUUUUGUGUGUGCAGAUCAAGGAGCCAGCACACUUCUAGUUCUGUAAUCAUGUAUGUGCAAAAGUACAAAGCAUUCAGGU